GAUGAACGCUGGCGGCGUGCCUAAUACAGGCAAGUCGAGCGAACGUACGAGAAGCUUGUUUCUCUGAUGUUAGCGGCGGACGGGUGAGUAACACGUGGAUAAAAUACCUAUAAGACUGGGAUAACUUCGGGAAACCGGAGCUAAUACCGGAUAAUAUUUUGAACCGCAUGGUUCAAAAGUGAAAGACGGUCUUGCUGUCACUUAUAGAUGGAUCCGCGCUGCAUUAGCUAGUUGGUAAGGUAACGGCUUACCAAGGCAACGAUGCAUAGCCGACCUGAGAGGGUGAUCGGCCACACUGGAACUGAGACACGGUCCAGACUCCUACGGGAGGCAGCAGUAGGGAAUCUUCCGCAAUGGGCGAAAGCCUGAGGGAGCAACGCCGCGUGAGUGAUGAAGGUCUUCGGAUCGUAAAACUCUGUUAUUACGGAAGAACAUAUGUGUAAGUAACUGUGCACAUCUUGACGGUACCUAAUCAGAAAGCCCCGGCUAACUACGUG
rnacentral:rRNA from 1 species